UCUUAGACGUAUUUAAGCAUGACCUCUGCC
rnacentral:piRNA from 1 species